GAAACUACAAAGGAAGUUAGACGGGGCCCGGCGACAAGACGGUGGAGCAUGUGGUUAAUUCGAAGCAACGCGAAGAACCUUACCAGGCCUUGACAUGCAGAGAACUUUCCAGAGAUGGAUUGGUGCCUUCGGGAACUCUGACACAGGUGCUGCAUGGCUGUCGUCAGCUUGUGUCGUGAGAUGUUGGGUUAAGUCCCGUAACGAGCGCAACCCUUGUCCUUAGUUACCAGCACGUUAUGGUGGGCACUCUAAGGAGACUGCCGGUGACAAACCGGAGGAAGGUGGGGAUGACGUCAAGUCAUCAUGGCCCUUACGGCCUGGGCUACACACGUGCUACAAUGGUCGGUACAAAGGGUUGCCAAGCCGCGAGGUGGAGCUAAUCCCAUAAAACCGAUCGUAGUCCGGAUCGCAGUCUGCAACUCGACUGCGUGAAGUCGGAAUCGCUAGUAAUCGUGAAUCAGAAUGUCACGGUGAAUACGUUCCCGGGCCUU
rnacentral:rRNA from 1 species